rnacentral:rRNA from 2 species
UUCGGCUCGUAAAGCUCUGUUGUUAAAGAAGAACACGUAUGAGAGUAACUGUUCAUACGUUGACGGUAUUUAACCAGAAAGUCACGGCUAACUACGUGCCAGCAGCCGCGGUAAUACGUAGGUGGCAAGCGUUAUCCGGAUUUAUUGGGCGUAAAGAGAGUGCAGGCGGUUUUCUAAGUCUGAUGUGAAAGCCUUCGGCUUAACCGGAGAAGUGCAUCGGAAACUGGAUAACUUGAGUGCAGAAGAGGGUAGUGGAACUCCAUGUGUAGCGGUGGAAUGCGUAGAUAUAUGGAAGAACACCAGUGGCGAAGGCGGCUACCUGGUCUGCAACUGACGCUGAGACUCGAAAGCAUGGGUAGCGAACAGGAUUAGAUACCCUGGUAGUCCAUGCCGUAAACGAUGAGUGCUAGGUGUUGGAGGGUUUCCGCCCUUCAGUGCCGGAGCUAACGCAUUAAGCACUCCGCCUGGGGAGUACGACCGCAAGGUUGAAACUCAAAGGAAUUGACGGGGGCCCGCACAAGCGGUGGAGCAUGUGGUUUAAUUCGAAGCUACGCGAAGAACCUUACCAGGUCUUGACAUCUUGCGCCAACCCUAGAGAUAGGGCGUUUCCUUCGGGAACGCAAUGACAGGUGGUGCAUGGUCGUCGUCAGCUCGUGUCGUGAGAUGUUGGGUUAAGUCCCGCAACGAGCGCAACCCCUUGUUACUAGUUGCCAGCAUUAAGUUGGGGCACUCUAGUGAGACUGCCGGU